rnacentral:rRNA from 1 species
AUCUAUAGUUAUGCUACCCUGAACAAGCCUGAUCCCGUCUGAUCUCGGAAACUAAGCAGAGUCGGGCCUGGUUAGUACUUGGAUGGGAGACCACCUAGGAAGACAAGGUGCUGUAGGCG